CAGCAGUGGGGAAUAUUGCACAAUGGGGGAAACCCUGAUGCAGCGACGCCGCGUGGAGGAAGAAGGUCUUCGGAUUGUAAACUCCUGUUGUUGAGGAAGAUAAUGACGGUACUCAACAAGGAAGUGACGGCUAACUACGUGCCAGCAGCCGCGGUAAAACGUAGGUCACAAGCGUUGUCCGGAAUUACUGGGUGUAAAGGGAGCGCAGGCGGGAAGACAAGUUGGAAGUGAAAUCCAUGGGCUCAACCCAUGAACUGCUUUCAAAACUGUUUUUCUUGAGUAGUGCAGAGGUAGGCGGAAUUCCCGGUGUAGCGGUGGAAUGCGUAGAUAUCGGGAGGAACACCAGUGGCGAAGGCGGCCUACUGGGCACCAACUGACGCUGAGGCUCGAAAGUGUGGGUAGCAAACAGGAUUAGAUACCCUGGUAGUCCACACCGUAAACGAUGAUUACUAGGUGUUGGAGGAUUGACCCCUUCAGUGCCGCAGUUAACACAAUAAGUAAUCCACCUGGGGAGUACGACCGCAAGGUUGAAACUCAAAGGAAUUGACGGGGGCCCGCACAAGCAGUGGAGUAUGUGGUUUAAUUCGACGCAACGCGAAGAACCUUACCAAGUCUUGACAUCCCUUGACGAUGCUGGAAACAGUAUUUCUCUUCGGAGCAAGGAGACAGGUGGUGCAUGGUUGUCGUCAGCUCGUGUCGUGAGAUGUUGGGUUAAGUCCCGCAACGAGCGCAACCCUUAUGGUCAGUUACUACGCAAGAGGACUCUGGCCAGACUGCCGUUGACAAAACGGAGGAAGGUGGGGAUGACGUCAAAUCAUCAUGCCCUUUAUGACUUGGGCUACACACGUACUACAAUGGCGUUAAACAAAGAGAAGCAAGACCGCGAGGUGGAGCAAAACUCAAAAACAACGUCUCAGUUCAGAUUGCAGGCUGCAACUCGCCUGCAUGAAGUCGGAAUUGCUAGUAAUCGCGGAUCAGCAUGCCGCGGUGAAUACGUUCCCGGGCCUUGUACACACCGCCCGUCACACCAUGAGAGUCGGGAACACCCGAAGUCCGUAGCCUAACCGCAAGGAGGGCGCGGCCGAAGGUGGGUUCGAUAAUUGGGGUGAAGUCGUAACAAGGUAGCCGUUCGAGAACGAGCGGCUG
rnacentral:rRNA from 1 species